UCUGUUAGCUCUUCUCUCACUAUCUUUUUCCCAGGUUAGGUAAGGGUUUUGUUCCAUGGAAACCUCAGAUUGUUUUUGCUUCUCUUCCUUUUUCUGUCUGUUCUCCCUUUUUUAUAACCUGAUUUUCAUGGCUUUGUGGGCUCAAAUGAGAGAGGUCCAAGUCUGAGAUUUUUUCUUUUAUUUAUUUAUUAUUAUUAUUAUUAUUAUUAUUAUUAUUAUUAUUAUUAUUAUUUUUGCAUAACACGUGGGCUUCGCCUAGCGAGCAUGACAACUCAUGAAGAUUGCCGGAUUGAAUGAAACGGUGAUAUAACACGGAUGAACUCAGAUCGCAGUUAUUCGCUUAUUCCCUAACUUUUGCGUGGACCGCCCUUUUGGGUUUUCAAUCCACCGGGAUACCCUUUUUUGCGUGAGCCGCCCUUUCGGGUUUUCGACUCACCGGGUGUACAUUUUUUAUUUAUUUUUAUAUCCCUAAUUUUUGCCCGAACCUCUUCAUUCUUUUUUUUGGUUCAUCGGGAUGCCUCUUUUUUGCCUGGACUAUUCUUUUUACUGUCCAGCGGGUCUAUUUUAUGCGAAGUAUUUUUUAACUGCGUCUAAGUUGACAGGGGACGGGAAGUCUUUGCCAUCCAUGGUUGUUAGCGUCAGAGCUCCGCCAGAGAAAACUCUUUUAACCACGUAUGGACCCUCGUUGUUCGGUGUCCAUUUGCCCCUGUGAUCUGUUUUGGGAGGAAGAAUUCUUUUGAGUACCAAUUCACCGACUCGAUACUCCCGAGGGUGCACUUUCUGAUCAAACGCUCUCUUCGUCCGUCUCUGAUAUAGCUGGCCAUGGCAUAUAGCUGCUAGUCUCUUUUCCUCAACUAGGCUUAGCUGAUUGUAUCGAGAACGGACCCAUUCUGCUUCGUCCGGCUUCAUUGUUGGUGCAGGGAAAAGUUAUUCUGGCACAAAAUGGCAUAUGAACCCCCUCCGGUGUGAUCAACACUGCACCAACUCCGCGACCAUUGACGUUGACCGCCCCAUCAAACAUCAUAAUCCAUUUGGAUUCAGGGUCAGGCCCCUCCUCCGGGAGUGGUUCCUCGCAAUCUUUCGAUUUGAGAAACAUGAUGUCCUCAUCAGGAAAGUCGAACCUCAUAGGUUGGUAAUCAUCAAUCGGUUGCGCGGCAAGAUAGUCUGACAAGACACUUCCUUUGAUGGCUUUUUGUGAAGUGUAUUGGAUGUCAUACUCUGUCAGCAUCAUUUGCCACCUAGCAACCCUGCUGGCUUUUCAAAAAUAUACUUGACUUGAUCCAUCUUUGAUAUCAAUAGAGUCGUGUGAGUCAACAUAUACUGUCUUAGUCGGCGAGCAGCCCAUGCCAAAGCGCGGCAAGUUUUCUCGAGCAGUGAGUAUCUUUGUUCACAGUCGGUAAACUUUUUGCUAAGGUAGUAUAUUGCAUGCUCUUUUCGACCUGACUCGUCAUGCUGACCGAGCACACAACCCAUUGACCUUUCUAACACAGUCAAGUACAUGAUCAACGGUCUUUUCCUCUCGGCCUGUAGACUGGCCCCGAUCUUGAUCUCUUUCUUGUCGUCUUCGGUACCAACGUUGAUGGUCUCAACCACCUCCUGAUAAGGUGUAAUAGCUCGGUCCUCCUGUUUCAACAAUCUGGCUAACCCUUCAGGCAAUUCACAAUCUUCCUCAACCCCUUCUUCGGCUUGAUAGAUAGGAUUGUCGAAGUCAUACUUGGCCAUAGCAGUGUCGUUAGCAGUGAGAUCCGAGUGGUCGGCUCUGCAUGAUGGAGGAUCAUGCUUUACCUUAGAAUGAGAGAUUUUUUUUUGAAAGAAAGGAAAAACGAAAAAAGAAACAUUGCCAUUUUUUUUGUAAAAAGUAAAAAAAACUGAAAGAAAGAGAACACAAAAUUGUUUGCAAAAGCCGUCCUUUAUUGAUGAUAAAAAUAAUUGCGAAAUGUAACUAAAUGGAUGGCCCUACAAAUGAGCCGUUACACCUUGGGCAAAGUGUAAGACUUUAUUAUGCAUGUAAUAAAGGAAAACAAUAAAAAUCACUCUUUCAGUAGAGUAACCCGGACGGUUUUUUCAGACGACCAAUUGUCGAGCUUUUCUCCCGGGACACACGGGCGAAUCCAGCUAUCUAAGUCACAGUCGCUGUCAGCCUUGUCUUCAUCUGCAGCAUUGACGAUGUGGGGAGAAACCAAACCCCCGCUGGAGAGAGUACCGGUUUCAUUCUUCUGAGAUCCCGGAGCAUACCCCAAUCCAAACUUGUCUUCUUUGAUGACUGGCUCCACAAAUUUGCCCCAGCCUUGGGCAUUACCAGCUUUAACCACUUCGACAGCUUGCUUGUAUGAAGAGAUAGAAGUCCCGACCUUCUCAAACUCAGGUGAAAAGACAGCUUCGGGCGCGACCUCAUUGAUGUUUAUGGCUUCGAAGCCCUGACACAGCAUCUCGUGCAUCUCGCCGUCCAUCUCUACAUACUUAAAUGUAGACAGGUGGCUAACAAAAAUAUCCUCUUCACCACAGACAGUGACGACCUGACCUUCUAGUUCAUAUUUGAGCUUCUGGUGGAGGGUAGAAGUAACAGCACCGGCAACAUGAAUCCAAGGCCGACCUAGCAGACAGCUGUAGGCAGGCUGGAUAUCCAUCACAUAAAAGGUGCUCUUGAACACCUGCGGUCCAAUCUUAACUGGCAACUCAACUUCGCCAAAGACAGCUCUCUUAGAGCCAUCAAAAGCCCUCACAACUAAGUUACUUGGCCUCAGGAUGGUGUCAUCGCAAUCCAACUUCAUUAAGGCUUUCUUUGGAAGAACAUUCAGAGAAGAGCCUGUAUCAACCAAAACAUGGGAAAGCAUCACCCCUUUGCACUCCAUUGUGAUAUGCAAGGCUUUGUUGUGAUUCCUGCCCUCAGAUGUCAGGUCAUUAUCGGUGAAACCUAGCCCCCGGCUAGCGUUUACAUUGGAAACUACCGACUCCAGCUGGUUAACAGUUAUCUCCGGUGGAACAUAGGCCAUAUUCAGUACUUUCAACAAGGCUGCUCUGUGCGCCUCAGAGCACAGCAAUAGUGAGAGAAUGGAGAUCUUUGAGGGUGUCUGAUUUAGCUGGUCGACUACCUUGUAGUCACUUUUCUUGAUAAUCCUCAUAAACUCAUCCACUUCCUUCUCGAAUGCGGUCUUAGGAGGAGCUUCCUCGGUAGUAACCUCUUCGGUGGAUACCUGUUUUCCUUUAGCCUUGGCAGUUGCCUCAGCUUCAGCAUUCGUGCGUAAUGUUGAUGGUGCAAAUAGGCAUCCACUGCGAGUGAAGCCACCAAUUCCUCCAACAUUGUCUACAGCGGAGCUACCAAUGUCAAUGUCUUCUUCAUUAACUUUCUUCCCCUGGAAGUAGAUAUCAGCCCCAUAAUGCCACGGGAUAGAACUGUCUUUCUCAUACGGAACAGGUCCUGGUACCGUGAUGGUGACCGGACCAAUCAAAGUCGAUUGAGGGUUGUUAGAGUAAAUUGGUGCUGGACUUUCUGGGAAAUAUAUUGUUGUCGGAGCGGGUCUCUCGGGAACAUAUAUUUCUUUAGGAGUAAAAUAAAACGUUACUAUCGACACAUCAUUCUUCACUGGACGAGUCUGAUCGAACUGAAGACAACCUUCAUCUAUCAGUUGCUGAAUACCCCUUCUCAAACUAUCACAUCCAUUCUCGGCAUCUUGACAAUUUCUGCACUCUUCCCCACAGCCCGGGAAAAUCUGUCCUUUCAAGAGUUGGUCUUUGACCACCGAUAGCGAAGUAUUCACUUUAGUCACAUCAGAAACCAAAUUCAAAGUUUCCCCACUAUCAACAUCAUUAAUCCUCUGCCCGCCGUGAGCUGGCAUCGGGUUUUGGAUAACAUUAGGCACCGGAGAAAAAUUGAUGGCCUGGGCGUCUCUCAAAUCUUGUACCUUUAGCUGGAGAGCCUUGCAAUUAUCUGUAGUAUGACCAGGUGCGUUGGAGUGAAAAUCACAUCUGGCGUUGACAUCAUAACCUCUAGGCAGAUUGUUGGGAUCGACCGGUGGGGCCAGAGUUCUCAAUGUAACCAGGUUCAUGUCAAUCAGCUUGGGAAGUAAUAUAAAAUAAGGCAUUGGAAUUGGCUCAAUGACCCGGUCCGCCUGCCUUGGACGUUGUUGAUAGGGUCUCUGCUGACCCGGAUUACCUUCUUGUUGUUGAUUGUUGUACCUGGGUUGCUGUUGCGGAUGAUACUGCGGUUGAGGAACAGGUGUUGGAAUAGUGACUGCGGCCACUUGAUCUUGAUAAUAAUUAGGGCGUCCUCUGCCCCUGCCUCUGCCGGCAUAUACAACGCUCGUCUCACCUUCUCUUCUUCGUUGACCGUUACCAGCAAACGGUUUCUUGGGAAUUGAUGAGUUAGAAGCAGUGUUGACUUGAAUUCGGCCCAUCUUCAACAGACUCUCGAUCCUUUCUCCAGCAAUCACUAUCUCUGCAAAGCUGAUUGACGGGCAAGCAACCAAUCUCUCAAUAUAAUUGCCUUGAAGAGUGUUCAUGAACAUGUCCUCCAUCUCCCUUUCAGACAUAGGGGGUUGGACGGAUGCAUCAAUCUGUCUCCAACGCUAAGCAUAUUCUCUAAAGGUUUCCUUGGCAGUCGGAGACAUUCCUUACAACAAGGUCCGAUUUGGAGCCAUGUCCAAGUUGUAUUGAUAUUGCUUGACAAAAGCCUCUGCCAAGUCUUUCUAGCUCUUGAUGGUAGUACGAGACAAAUGAGAAUACCAUUCACGAGAAGCUCCAGUUAAACUGUCUUCAAAAUAGUACAUCCACAGCUUUUCAUCUUCAGUGUGAGCUCCCAACCUUCCCAGAUAAGAUUGGAGAUGAGUGCGUGGGCAAGAAGCCCCGUUGUAUUUCUCAAAAGUAGGGGGUUUGAACUUGUGAGGAAUCCUUACUCCCUGAACCAGACCAAGAUUUGUGACAUCAAAACCUAAGGAAUUUUGAGACUCCAAAGAUUUGAGCUUCUCAGCAAGCUCAUCCAUACGGCGAGUGGUCUCGAGGGCCUCGUCGUGCAAAGAAAAUUGAUCAUACUGACAAUCUUCAGUAACGGGGCGCCCGUUAAUCCGAAUCCCUUGAUUCACAUUGUACCUUCCGCCAAUACCAUUCCCAACAUUUCCCGUGUUGCCAACAUUACCCGGGUUUCCAUCAACAUUUGCGUUACCCGCGUUUCCAGUGUUCACAGGGUUAUCAGCGUUCCCAGGGUUACCAGGGUUCCCCUCAGCACUUGGUAUUUCCACCUCUGGAUCGGGCCUCGGUUGCUCAACCAAUUCCCUCAGCUUUUCUUGGCCUUCUGCCAUACCAGUCAUCAAUGUCAUGAACUGAUCCAUCCUUUCACGCAUAUCAGCCAGUUCUUUCUGUAUCUGGUCCAUUGCUAGUCGUGGACGGUUUUCCUUUGUCGGGUACCUGUGAACUCGCUUGGGACCAAUAACUGCCUGAAACAGGGAACAAACAUUAGACACUGCGGUGACACCUGCAAAACAAACAAGGGUUAGUAUGCAUGGUAUGCGAUGCACUGCUUAUUCAAUUUUAAGGCCCCCCCUUAAAAAGGGAAUACCCUGCAAAUGAAUAAGCAUGAGAUGUUGGAUGCAAAUAUGCAGAUGAUGUUAUGCAAUGCAAUGGCAUGUCAAUCAGAAUUGCUGGAUCCGCUUGAACAUCUGUCAGGUUGCACUGCCUGGAGAGAAAUUAAGAGGAUCAAGCAAAGCACACCAAACAAAGGUCAUGGGAUGGAUCAUGUUAUCCUUAAUAUCAACCAUCCAUUUUUGGUGGAUUAUGGUUUACACCUUAUCAACACCCAAGUUUCAUUGAUAUUAAGGAUACCUGAACGGAUCAACCAUGAAUCAAGGGUUUGUUGCAAGUCACGAGCAUGGAGUUUAGGUUAAGAACCACCCAAAGGGAGUGUACUAAGGUUUAAACCUGCCAAACAUGUUCUACAAAAGGUUCCCAUAGUCAUAAUCCCAUCUUUCGGAUAUUAUCGGAGGAACGACUACUCGUAUUCCAAAAAUAUUCUCAAGAGAGACUCUUAUGAGUGUAGUAUCGCGUAACAAUCGUAUCAAAUCUUACACUUGAACGACUUUCGCACUACGUCCUACGAAUAGGCCAAGAUGGGUUUGGUAAACUAAGGUCCUUGGCUUCUAAGGUCUAUAUUGGAAAAAGUAAUGUCUAACCACAACUUACUUGUGUGACAUUAUUGAUCCCAACAUGACCUCCACCAAGUGAAUGGGCUUGCAAGUCAACUUGCUAAGGAAUAAAUCCACACAAGUCAACAAGACUAUGCCAUUCUCCUAUCCUAAGUGCACUCGAGUUCGGGUAUAUAACUCAUCUCACAAACAGAACCAGCAGAUACGGUAGUCAUAUGUACACAAUGCAAUAAAACAGGUAAAUGCUGAAAGAUAAAUAACUGUACAAAAGAAUAAACACCCAAUAAACAAACAACCUACAAAAUCUAGGAGGGACUCGCUUGGGGAAACCGGGUCCCCAGCAGAGUCGCCAGCUGUCGCAACCUUAAAAAUGGAAUGCGAAAAAAAACAACCGGCGAAGAAAGACAGGAGAGUCGCCACCGUGCGUUAUUCAUCCCAAAGGAGGGAAAGGAAACGCUCGAAGUAAACCUAGAAAAAGGAAAGGACAAGACAGGGUCUCGCAACCAAAUCUUGGGUUCGGGAGUCAAGUAUGCGAAGGGAAGGUAUUAGCACCCCUACGCAUCCGUAGUACUCUACGGGAUCCACUUUUGUAGUUCUUGUCUAAAGGGUGUGGGUUUAUCUAAUGUGUUAUUUACUAAAAAAAAGGGGUCAAAAGAAAAUGACUCGCACGGAUGUCGCAUCCACUGCAUACGUAUCUCAUCUGAAUAUGAGAAUCAGAGUCUUCGUAGCUCGGCUACCUAGGGGUUAAGGGUAAUUGUGCUCGCUAAGACAUCGCGUCUUAUGCCUACGUAUCUCAUCUGGAAUGAGAAUCAGAGCAAGCCGUAGUUCGGCUAACUACGGGGUUAUGGAUUGGGUUUUGGACGAACGACGUUACUACGCAAUCUACCGGAUGCUCGACCUUUGGAGACUUACUCGCCUGUAGUAGAAGGAGUUAACGUGUUCUUAGGAGAAGAAAAAUCAAUGAAAUGUUUGCGUUUUAGGAACGCGCAUGCAAAAGGAGUCCUGGACGAAGGAACCUGUAAAAAAAAUAAACACACAAAAACAUUGCCUCCUAUCGAGGUCUUCCAGCUAGGAAAGCAGUAAAAUGCAGGAAAAAUGUAAAAGUACCACGCGGAUAAAGAUCCGAAGUAACAACAAUUAGAGGAAUGGGAAACCCAGGGAUCCUUCCAAGCUGAUUGGAGAGAUCGAUUAAAAUUGAGUUGCACCCGUGGGUUUGUAGAGCAAUCUUGGGGUAGAUAUGAGGUAAAGGUUAUUAUGUGCAAAUGAGUUUCCUUCAGGGUCUGGAAGUUGCACUGAACUCUGUUAGCUCUUCUCUCACUAUCUUUUUCCCAGGUUAGGUCAGGGUUUUGUUCCAAGAAACCUCAGAUUGUUUUUGCUUCUCUUCCUUUUUCUGUUUGUUCUCCCUUUUUUAUAACCUGAUUUUCAUGGCUUUGUGGGCUCAAAUGAGAGAGGUCCAAGUCUGAGAUUUUUUCUUUUAUUUAUUUAUUUAUUAUUAUUAUUUUUUUUAUUUUUUUGCAUAACACGUGGGCUUCGCCUAGUGAGCAUGACAGCUCAUGAACAAACCUUUGCUCCUUCAAGAUUAACGUUUUG
rnacentral:lncRNA from 1 species